GCAGGGAGAGGCCUUGGGUUCCGGACUCCGGGGACGCGCCCUGGAAGCCCAGGGACACCCACCAGAAAGAAUCCAGGGGUCACCUGCGAGUACCUAGAUGGGAAGGGGACGGAUCUGCCAAACCCCAAGAUAGGAGAGGGAGCAGCGUGUCAGCUGAGACCGAGAAGGCGAGAGUGAAGGAAUGAGCGGAAUUUGCUUGCUUCGAAGACAUACUCUUGCUCAGUCCACGCUGUCCUCAAACUUACAACCUUCCUGCUUCAGCCUCCCAAGUGUUCAAAUUACAGGCCUUUAACACCACACCCUGGUAACUGUGCUUUUUUUUUGAGGAUUCACUGCUCUCCAGGGAACCUUCAAGUAUGCAUCAUUGUUUCAAGAAGUAUCUUCAUUAUAAAACACAGGGACUAUAAAAGUUCUUCCAGAGAACCUGAGGUUUAGGGAGCUCUACUAAUGCACAUGUUACAAAGAGGCCUUUAUUAUGAAGGACAUGAAUAGAGUUCUGAGUGAGACUACAAAAGCCCUAUACUGCAAGCGGGUAUAAUGGGGUGCUUUAUAGGGAAGGAACACUGUCCUUUGGGUAUGAGGGACAGUUUAAUAUGACAUCUAUUGCAAGGGAACAAAGAAGUUAUGUAGCUCACAAAUUAGUGUAUUCAUAUCCAGAUAUAUUACUGGUGGAGUGUAAAGAAUUUGGAAUUCAGUGUAAAAUGAUAUUGUCAUCCAACAUACCACACUGUGGAAUGUGACAUUCCUUGAAUGUAAGUUAUAUACUGAUCAAAAUAGAUUGUACAAGUCACAAAUAACUGACACUGUGUGACUCUAUAGCGAUUAGCAACCAAAGAUAGUAAUUCUUAGUGACACUAAAAAUAAGAUGAAGCAUCUAUGAUUAAGCAGGAAAUGACAAAUGCAAUUCAGAACACUAUAUAUUCAAGUUGUCUUAAGUUUCUCAAUGAAAAUUAAUUAAAGAUAGUAGUUUUAAGAGACCUAACAGGAAUAGCACAUACAACAUGGAGUCAGUGAUUUAUUGUUUCAGGUUAAGUCACCGCUGCAGACAGUCAAAUCACAAAUCUCUACUGUCUGAUAUGUGGUGGAGGAAGGAGUGAGAAAUGAACAAAAAUUCAAGAAUUCAAUAGUAGACUCUAGUAGAGCCAUGUCUUGUGAAGAGGCCAACAAGCAAACUAAAAUAAUACCUUCCCUAUGACUAUUGAAAUUUUCAAGGGUAAACCAGUGCUAUGAUGCUACAUACACUGGAUUACUUUCAACUUCUAUUUAUUAUGAGUUUUAUAAGAAUUUGAUACUGUUGGCCAUACAGUCUUAUUCCCUUAGCUUCUCCACUUCAUUUUGCCCCAAACCCCUCUGUCACUUUUGUCCUCUAACUGGCAGACUCCUCAAAAAUAAAUAUUUAUCUCAGGUCUCUCUUCAACCCUUUGGUCUUCCAACUCCAAACCUGCCCGAAUGACUUCAACUAUUCCUGUGGCUUUAACUGUCUAUUUACUGAUGAGCUCCCUCCACGCUCUCUCCUCUGAGCUCAUAUUCAUGUAACUCACUAUCUUGAAAACCACACUAAUUUCUCAUAUGCACCAUGAAAUCAGUAUGUUUGAACCUGAACUUAUAUUGUUUUCCCCAUCUUCCAUACUCAGCCUAUUCCCUUUCUGCUCUUUCUUUAUCCUGGAAUAGCAGCAUCCCCUAAACUAUUCAGUCAGAAAGCCAUGACUCAUUCUGGUCUUUCAUAUUUUUCUACUAGUUACUAGUUUCAUCAUAAAUCUAUACAGUAUCUCCAACUCCUUUACCACUGUGAUGGUGCAAACCAUCAUGAUCUAUCAUCAGGAUCACUAUAGACUUCAACUGGUUUCCAUGCCUUUGGUUAUACUUUCUUUCCUCAAAUAUUUUCUCCCAAGCAUUCUUUCUACAAUACAUUUCUGGACAAAAUAAAGGCAUAAUUCCCUUAUGUAGAAUGAAGGAAGCGGCAGUGAACAUACACAACAUUUUCCACAGCAUGAUAUGGAGACUAUUAGCAAAUCAAUAGUAAAUCCCUUGGGUCUAUCUUUCAUAUAUGUUUUAAAUCAUAUUCUGUGCAUGAAUUAUAGCAAUAGUCUCUGAUUUGUCUUCUAUUUCAAUACUUAUUCUAAAACCUAUUCUUAAGGUAGUAGAAUAAUUGCCCUAUUGUUUCAUUGGUGGUGGUGGUGGUUGUGGUGGUGAUGGUGGUGGUGAUGAUGUUGUUAAGCUUUUCUAAAGUGUUGGCUAUCUGACCCAGGACCUUGUUCAUACUAGCCAACUGCUUUACCACUGAGUUACAUCUAAAGCUGAAAAUAUUAAUAGUUCUUACCCUGUAUUGUGUGUCUAUCCAAGUCUGCAGUGCCUUUCAUUGAUUCAAAGUAUAGUGAAACUCUUAAUGACCUUUCAGAAUUUACAAGACCUAUCCUUUGUGGAAAUUUAUUUCAUUUCAUCUGCUACUAACUUCCUCUAGUUUAACACACGCUGAAUAUUUAACAACAUAGGCUAAGUAAGUUGAGUAAACAGCAUCAAGCUGAUCUGGCCACAUCUAGGAUCUACAGCUAUCUGGCUUACAGUACUUACACAAAUUAUUUCAUCUCCUUCAGCAUCAGUUUCUUCUUCUGUAAAACUAAAAUAGAAAGCUCACCUCACAGGGCUGUUGUGAGGAAAUUAGACAUAUAAGAUCUUUGCCUGUGACAUAAAAUGUACUAUACAAUUUUAUAUUUCCCCAUUUAAUUACCUUCUAAACUAAUACAAGAAGUAUCUCCUACUUGGAAGUAAUGUACAAUUAAUUUUCCUUAGAACAAAAGUUACAUUUAUUAAUUUAUGAUGCAGUGGUUCAUAUUAUAUCCUACAUAAAGAUUGAAUUUCAAAAUGAAUCUUUGUUUUUAACAAAUCCUCAGAAAACUCAUUGAGUUGCUUUCAUUUGUCAUUAUAAUUUAGAAAUAUAUAUAGUUUCAUUGUCACCUAUAAACUUUCAUAGCUUGACUUUUUUAAUUGUCUAAUUUUUUAUGGAAGAAACAUUCUGCUAUAACACAUUGAAUCCAUUAGAUCUACAUUGGAAUUUAUUUAAUAUGUUGUUGCUAAACUAUGGUCAAUAUAGUCUGGAAGAUCUCACUAAAAGUUACAGACUUAUAAGCAAUGUCAUGAACAGCUUCCCACAGAUUUAGAGGGAAAGCAGUGGGUCUCUGUUCAAAUUCUAACAUCACCCUUUACUGGCAACAUGACCUUGGGAACACCAAUAAAUCACUCACAGUUUCCUAUGUAUAAAACAAAAUAAAUAAAUGAUACCAAUCUCA